UACAGUACAGUAUAUCACCCUGCAACUCACAAAUGGCAAGCAGUUGUGAGCCUUGAUAGUACCUGGAUGGGAGACCUCCUGGGAAAGCCAAGGUGGGUGCUGGAA
rnacentral:rRNA from 1 species